rnacentral:rRNA from 1 species
GAUGAACGCUGGCGGCGUGCCUAACACAUGCCAGUCGAACGGAGUCGUUUUGGAAAUCUCUUCGGAGAUGGAAUUCUCGACUUAGUGGCGGACGGGUGAGUAACGCGUGAGCAAUCUGCCUUUAAGAGGGGGAUAACAGUCGGAAACGGCUGCUAAUACCGCAUAAAGCAUUAAAUUCGCAUGUUUUUGAUGCCAAAGGAGCAAUCCGCUUUUAGAUGAGCUCGCGUCUGAUUAGCUAGUUGGCGGGGUAACGGCCCACCAAGGCGACGAUCAGUAGCCGGACUGAGAGGUUGAACGGCCACAUUGGGACUGAGACACGGCCCAGACUCCUACGGGAGGCAGCAGUGGGGAAUAUUGCGCAAUGGGGGAAACCCUGACGCAGCAACGCCGCGUGAUUGAAGAAGGCCUUCGGGGUGUAAAGAUCUUUAAUCAGGGACGAAACAAAUGACGGUACCUGAAGAAUAAGCGCCGGCUAACUACGUG